UUAACUCAAAUUUGUAUGAAGUUGGAACGUAUGCCUACGUUUGUCGCUAGUGGAGCUGUUCCGAUUUCAUACAAAUUUGUGUUA
rfam:Bombyx mori DNA, contig: Bm_scaf8_contig6941, strain: p50T/Dazao, build 2, whole genome shotgun sequence.